UACGGGGGGGGCAAGCGUUGUCCGGAUUUACUGGGCGUAAAGAGCGUGUAGGCGGCCAAACAGGUCCGUUGUGAAAACUGGAGGCUCAACCUCCAGACGUCGACGGAAACCGUGUGGCUAGAGUCCGGAAGAGGAGAGUGGAAUUCCUGGUGUAGCGGUGAAAUGCGCAGAUAUCAGGAAGAACACCAAUGGCGAAGGCCGCUCUCUGGGACGGUACUGACGCUGAGACGCGAAAGCGUGGGGAGCGAACAGG
rnacentral:rRNA from 1 species